rnacentral:lncRNA from 1 species
GGGGCAUCUAGCUGGCUUUUCCUAAUAACUCACACAGUCGUCCUCAUCUUGUUUAAGUAUGGCUUACUUCUCUGAGGGUCUUUGAUCCCCUGACUGCAGACACUCUGGCACCAGGGAGCCUUAAAGGUCAAGGAGUGAAGAUACACACAGAGAUGGACUAACAUGCAUGGUUACUACAAGAAAGGUCAUUUGAUUUCAUGGGGCUCUUGGGGCCAUCACAGAGUCUCAGGAGAGUAUUUCCAGAAGGAUGUAACUGAAGAAGGAAGACACACCCGAAAAAUGGAAACGUAUCUCUCGGUGUGCCUAUCAGGGUAUUUCCCCCGAAAGCUUUGAUGGAAGAAGAAAG